UACGUAGGGUGCGAGCGUUAAUCGGAAUUACUGGGCGUAAAGCGUGCGCAGGCGGUGAGCUGUGUCCGAUGUGAAAGCCCCGGGCUUAACCUGGGAAUGGCAUUGGAAACUGGCUCGCUGGAGUGUGGCAGAGGGGGGUGGAAUUCCGCGUGUAGCAGUGAAAUGCGUAGAGAUCCGGAAGAACACCGGUGGCGAAGGCGGCCUGCUGGGCUAUGGCUGACACUGAGGCGCGACAGCGUGGGGAGCAAACAGGG
rnacentral:rRNA from 1 species